AGUGAACGCUGGCGGCGUGCCUAAUACAUGCAAGUCGAACGGAGUGGCGCACGGGGGAGUAAUGUAUAGCUAAUCUGCCCGACACUAGAGGACAACAGGUGGAAACGACUGCUAAUACUCUAUAGUGAAGGAUGAGGCUAUAUUGGAUCAGCUAGUUGGUGAGGUAAUGGCUCACCAAUGCUAUGAUGCAUAACUGGUCGGCGGGGAUGAUCAGUCACACUGGAAGUGAGACACGGUGCAGACUCCUACGGGAGGCAGCAGUAGGGAAUAUUGCUAAAUGGGUGAGACCCUGAAGCAGCGUCGCCGCGUGGAGUAUGAUACUUUUCGGAGCGUAAACUCCUUUUGUUAGGGAAGCGGUACCUAACGAAUAAGCACCGGCUAACUCCGUGCCAGCAGCCGCGGUAAUAC
rnacentral:rRNA from 1 species